rnacentral:lncRNA from 1 species
ACCAAAAUCUCACAUUCCAAAUAGCUUUUCCAGUUCUUCAUUGCUGUUUCUAAGGAGCACACAGAUUUGUUCCACUAUGAAAGGAAAAGGGGCCCCAGGGUCCUCUUAUCAGAGGGAGGCUCAGCUUAUGGACCCCAGCACGUGACCUCACUUCCUUGGCGACAGGUCCAAACAGAACUCGGAACCCUGGAGUCAGUGGGCACCACAGUCUCACCGUGGCUGCCUAGCAGUCACUUGGCUGGAGACAGUCAGCAGCGAACGUGCUGUGCUGCUUUUCCAGGCCUCGAGGCCACAGCCUCAGGAGCCCAAGCAGCUGCUGGACCGGCUCCAGCCCAAGCUGAAGUAUCAGCUGCAGAGCCCAUGCCAGCUCCACCUGAAGCUCCCUGCCCAACUCUGCCACCACAGCCAGAGCCAGCACCAGGAACCCCUUCUCCACCAGCUGCACAGCUGGGGCUCCCGGUGCCUCCUCAGCGGGUGUCAGCUCCUGAGCUCCCCCUGGGGCCAGCUUCUGCCCCAGGCCUGCCGUUCCCCUCCAUUACUGUUGGUCACGUUAAGACGCAGUGGCCACAAUGAUACAGUUGUUUCAGCAACUUCUGCUCCAGACAAUUUCCAGUUGUUAAUGCCCACAAGAGACUCGAAGGACACAUCUUUGCUUCGAAAUCUCACUUUUUCAGGAUCCUGCCCGAGCUGUAGGAGCUGCACCCACCCCAUGCUGAGCCUGUGCCCAUGA